rnacentral:misc_RNA from 1 species
UAGCCACACCCAAAAAAAAAAAAGCGACAAAUACUAGUAACAGUUUGUUGCUCUUGUUUUACAAUGAACUACUGCAACUUGGCAUUCCUUUGGAAACACUAUCUAAGUUGACAAUCCUGGUGUAUUGAAAAUCUCACAGCCACUCUAGAGACGAAUAUUUACUUCUUUCUAUGAUCAUUGGAUAAUCCAAUGAAACCACCAUCUUGUUGACUUGUUAUCCAGGCCUAAGUAUGUGACUUGUCCAUAAACUAGUUAUACAGGAAAUUCUUUGACCCGAUAAGCCUAAAUAAUUAAACUAUUACUAGGGAAUGUGGUAGCAAUAAGGAAUUAAAUAUUUGUACUUCAGAGAACCACUGUUUUUUCUUCAACUUGGGGUAACAUGAGAUUUGAAACCAAGUCGUAGCAUACCCAACCAGUAUCAUACCACUCUAGUGAGGAACCUUGACUGAGAGGCAACAGCAGGGUGUGGAUUUUGAGAGAUUCAUUGCACAAAGAUGAUAUAACAGAAGAUGACCCUAGAGCUAAGAAUGAGAUUCACAGAAAUGGUUAGAAUCUUCUUAUGCAUGCCAUGGGCCCUGAGUUGUAAGUUAUAAAACCACAUCUCACAGAUCUCCAUAUCAAACCAAAGAGUAUAUUUUCAGGGUUGGAAGGGAAGAUACAUUUCACAUGCGUGGAAAAACAAGGGAAAAAAUUUGUACAUAUAUGGUCUAUGAUGUCUUUAGACAAUUGAGUUCCAAAGGUUAGUAAUUGAGUAAGCAUUAAGAAAGAACAGAAGUAAGAGCCAACCAUUAAGAUGACAUGUAAACCUUAUAUACAGCAAUAAAAAGAAACAAUACAAUGUAAAAAUGAUAUUAUAACUAAUAGAAAGAACUAAUCAACUAAAAACAAUUUUCCUUAAAAAAAAAAAAAAAUUGGACCCUU